rnacentral:misc_RNA from 1 species
UCUCCGUAGGUGAACCUGCGGAGGGAUCAUUACAGAGUUCAUGCCCUACCGGGUAGAUCUCCCACCCUGUGUUAUUAUUACUUUGUUGCUUUGGCGGGCCGUUAGGCUCCGGCCCGACUACCGGCCCCGGCUGGUAAGCGCCCGCCAGAGGACCCAAAACCCUGAAUAUUAGUGUCGUCUGAGUACUAUAUAAUAGUUAAAACUUUCAACAACGGAUCUCUUGGUUCUG